GUCGAGCGAAUGGAUUAAGAGCUUGCUCUUAUGAAGUUAGCGGCGGACGGGUGAGUAACACGUGGGUAACCUGCCCAUAAGACUGGGAUAACUCCGGGAAACCGGGGCUAAUACCGGAUAACAUUUUGAACCGCAUGGUUCGAAAUUGAAAGGCGGCUUCGGCUGUCACUUAUGGAUGGACCCGCGUCGCAUUAGCUAGUUGGUGAGGUAACGGCUCACCAAGGCAACGAUGCGUAGCCGACCUGAGAGGGUGAUCGGCCACACUGGGACUGAGACACGGCCCAGACUCCUACGGGAGGCAGCAGUAGGGAAUCUUCCGCAAUGGACGAAAGUCUGACGGAGCAACGCCGCGUGAGUGAUGAAGGCUUUCGGGUCGUAAAACUCUGUUGUUAGGGAAGAACAAGUGCUAGUUGAAUAAGCUGGCACCUUGACGGUACCUAACCAGAAAGCCACGGCUAACUACGUGCCAGCAGCCGCGGUAAUACGUAGGUGGCAAGCGUUAUCCGGAAUUAUUGGGCGUAAAGCGCGCGCAGGUGGUUUCUUAAGUCUGAUGUGAAAGCCCACGGCUCAACCGUGGAGGGUCAUUGGAAACUGGGAGACUUGAGUGCAGAAGAGGAAAGUGGAAUUCCAUGUGUAGCGGUGAAAUGCGUAGAGAUAUGGAGGAACCACCAGUGGCGAAGGCGACUUUCUGGUCUGUAACUGACACUGAGGCGCGAAAGCGUGG
rnacentral:rRNA from 1 species